GGGGAGGAACUAAGGGGAGAGGAGGUCAAGGUUAACCCCCACACACCCCGAGAUUUCCCUCUUCGUGUCCUCAGAUGCUAGUGCCUCGGGUCCUGGUCCUGUUUGUGUCGGGUGGAUUUAACUUGGAGCCAGGGUCUCCAAAGAAAACAGAAGAGGACAUGGGAUUCCCUGGAACUGAUGGACAAAUGAUGUGAGCGGUCCUGUGGGCAAUGGAAAUUGAGCUCAGUCCUCUGCAGAGCUGCCAGCGCUAUCACCGAGCCAUCCAUCCCUCCAGCUCCUCCUUCCUGUGCUUCAUUUCCCAAAUGCCAUUUCCUGCUGUCUUUAGGGUCUCAUUUUUAAUGGUUUGGUUUGUUUCUAUUUUAAGGCACUGGAGACUGAACCCAUGCAUAGUUAAAUAAACACUCUAUUGGUGAGCUA